AGGACGAACGCUGGCGACGUGCCUAAAACAUGCAAGUCGAACGAGGUCUUCGGAUCUAGUGGCUAACGGCGUAGUAAUACGUGAGCAACGUGCCUCUAAGACUGGGAUAUACGGGGGAAACUCCGGGCAAUACCAGAUGUGCCAGACGGUGGGCAUCCACUGUCUAGUAAAUGGUUUUUCGCUUAGAGAGCGGCUCACGGCCUAUCAGGUAGUUGGUGAGGUAAUGGCUCACCAAGCCGACGACGGGUAGCGGGUCUGAGAGGACGAACCGCACGAGUGGGACUGAGACACGGCCCACACACCUACGGGUGGCAGCAGUUGGGAAUAUUGGGCAAUGGGGGAAACCCUGACCCAGCGACGUCGCGUGGACGAUGAAGGCCUUAGGGUUGUAAAGUCCUUUUUUUCAGGAAAGACUUAGGACGGUACCUGAAGAAUAAGCUCCGGCUAACUACGUGCCAGCAGCCGCGGUAAGACGUAGGGAGCAAGCGUUGUCCGGAUUUACUGGGCGUAAAGAGCGCGUAGGCGGUCCGUUAAGUGAGAAGUGAAAUCUCCCUGCUCAACAGGGAAACUGCUUUUCAUACUGGCGGACUAGAGGGAUGGAGAGGUAACUGGAAUUCCUGGUGUAGCGGUGAAAUGCGUUGAUAUCAGGAGGAACACCCAUGGCGAAGGCAGGUUACUGGCCAUCAUCUGACGCUGAGGCGCGAAAGCGUGGGUAGCAAACAGGAUUAGAUACCCUGGUAGUCCACGCCCUAAACUAUGGAUACUAGUCGUAAGAGGUAUCGACCCCUCUUGUGACCGUAGCUAACGCGUUAAGUAUCCCGCCUGGGGAGUACGGCCGCAAGGUUGAAACUCAAAUGAAUUGACGGGGACCCGCACAAGCGGUGGAGCAUGUGGAUUAAUUCGAUACUAACCGAAGAACCUUACCCAGUUUUGACAUCGAUAGAAAGCCAUAGAGAUAUGGCCCUCCCCACAAGGGACUAGAAGACAGAUGUUGCAUGGCUGUCGUCAGCUCGUGCCGUGAGGUGUACGGUUAAGUCCGCCAACGAGCGCAACCCACGUUCUGUGUUACCAGCGAGUAAAGUCGGGCACUCACAGGAGACCGCCGGUGUAAGCCGGAGGAAGGUGUGGAUGACGUCAAGUCAGCAUGGCUCUUACGCCUGGGGCUUCACACAUGCUACAAUGGACGAAACAAAGGGCAGCAAUACCGCGAGGUGGAGCCAAUCCCAAAAAUACGUCCCCAGUUCAGAUUGUAGUCUGCAACUCGACUACAUGAAGGCGGAAUCGCUAGUAAACGCAGGUCAGCUAUACUGCGUUGAAUACGUUCCCGGGUCUUGUACACACCGCCCGUCAAGUCACCUGAAUUGUCUUCACCCGAAGUCCGUGGCCUAACCGAAAGGAGGGAGCGGCCGAAGGUGAGGGGAGUAAGGGGGACUAAGUCGUAACAAGGUA
rnacentral:rRNA from 1 species